rnacentral:lncRNA from 1 species
CCGCGAGGGACGAAAACAUCUGUUCGGGCAGAGGCUGGGAAGGGGAGGCGGGGGGGCGUCGCGCUGCGGGGUCGCACCACACCCCGGCGCGCCACCAGGGCAUAGGGCCCCUGCCGCUCGCAAACGAGUUUCGAGAUCGCAGGCGCCCCGGGCCUAAGGGCGCGGGGAGGCCGCCGGCAGCGCGCGGGGAGGGCGUUCCGCGGUCUCCUGCGCCCUGCCGGACCAGCCCUGACCUUUGUUCUCUACUCACGCCCACUAGGCUCGGGCGGGGGCCUUUCCUCCGCCACUCUCCUCGUCCGCUCGAGGUAGUGCAUGCACAUGGUGAAAAGAAAUUCAAACAGGACAAAACGAUGCGCAUACAAACAGGCUUCAAUCCGUUGCUCAAUUGAAGUAUGGAAAUACUGCUUGUCAAAGACUUUUUGACACAUGAAUUUUACAGCAAAAUAUCAGCGCACCUACUGCUUGGAUUUCUAACUCAUUCUUCGUAGAAUCUACAGCUGAUCCAAUCUACUGCUGCCAACAUGGUUUGUGGAGUUAAGCUUGGCUACAGCACCAUGGUUUUCUUUGAACUGAAGAGUUUUCUGAGGUUUUAUUUUCCUUCCUUGGGCUGAGAAACAUAGACGAGACCUAUCUUACUUGAUAAAAAUGAUGGUGUCGAGUCCAUAGUGUAGAAGAGUGGGGUUUGCAGAGCUGAGAAGCUCGUAUUGCCUCUGGAACCUGCAAGACAGAGCCCUCUGAACCUUAAGGGAAGAAUCUAGGAAAGCCUGGUGCAGGAACUUGGGCAGGAUUAAUAAGGAAAUAUCUGUGAAACUCUUGGAGAAAGAUGCCUCAAAGGGGAAGAAAUUAUUUUACUUGACUCUGUUGCCUUGUGGGUGAGCUGAAUUAAAAAGGAGGAGAAACAAGUGUUUAGAAUUUGCAUUUAAAAACAAUGAAAAGUAUAGAGUGAAAGAGUCAAUUUCUUUUUCUUCUUUUUAUUAUUUUUAAUUUUAAGCAUAGUGUAUGCUUAUUCUGAAAGACUUAUUUUCUGUCCCCAGGGAUAACUAUCGUGAACUGCUCAGUAUAUAACCUGUCAGACCCUCUUCUUGCAUAUUUAAACACAUUCAUUAAAAAAUAAAGGAUCCUCCUGGACAUGUGUUCUAUCAGCAGCUUUAGAAACAAUUCACCAAUGCGUUAUGACAGUCUGUCUUUGUUCACAUGCUAUAGUGUUAUGGUAGGCAGGAUUAUGAGAAUGACCCGCAAUGAUCCUUG